CACGUCAGCGCACUUUACUGACAUGGACACAAAUCGCGCUUACGUGGACGCGAUUUGCUGCCACGUCAAAAAAUCGCGCUGACGUGA
rfam:Gossypium hirsutum cultivar TM-1 chromosome 17, whole genome shotgun sequence